rnacentral:rRNA from 1 species
UACGUAGGGUGCAAGCGUUGUCCGGAAUUAUUGGGCGUAAAGCGCGUGUAGGCGGUUUUGGAAGUCUGGUGUGAAAUCCCGGGGCUCAACUCCGGAAGUGCAUUGGAUACUGCUUAACUAGAGGACGAGAGAGGAUGGUGGAAUUCCUGGUGUAGGGGUGAAAUCCGUAGAUAUCAGGAGGAACAUCGGUGGCGAAGGCGGCCAUCUGGCUCGUAUCUGACGCUGAGACGCGAAAGCGUGGGGAGCAAACAGG